rnacentral:rRNA from 1 species
CACGUAGGGUGCGAGCGUUUGUCCGGAAUUAUUGGGCGUAAAAGAGCUCGUAGGCGGUCUGUCGCGUCGGUCGUGAAAACCUGCAGCUUAACUGUGGGCUUGCGGUCGAUACGGGCAUGACUGGAGUUCGGCAGGGGAGACUGGAAUUCCUGGUGUAGCGGUGAAAUGCGCAGAUAUCAGGAGGAACACCGGUGGGCGAAAGGCGGGG